CACGUAGGGCGCGAGCGUUGUCCGGAAUUAUUGGGCGUAAAGAGCUCGUAGGCGGCCUGUUGCGUCCGCUGUGAAAGCCCGGGGCUUAACCCCGGUCGGCAGUGGAUACGGGCAGGCUAGAGGUAGGUAGGGGAGAAUGGAAUUCCUGGUGUAGCGGUGAAAUGCGCAGAUAUCAGGAGGAAUACCGGUGGCGAAGGCGGCUACCUGGCCCAACAUUGACACUGAGGCCCGAAAGCGUGGGGAUCAAACAGGG
rnacentral:rRNA from 1 species